UUGCUUAAUAAACAUCAAUAUGCCCUACCUGCAAAAUAGAUAAAUUCAGCUAGAAAAGUAGCAUUGCAAUUGCAGCCAACAGUAAUCAUAAUUAAGCUAAAGAAAGACAUGUUUUUCUUGUCAUCUUUAUUCAAGUAUUUCACAGCAGUUAUAUUACAAAUUACAGUAAAUGUCCAAAAUUCCAGAAUUCAAAAAUUAAAUAAUUUACUUCAAACUAAUGUAAAAUGAAGUCAAAUGCAAAACAUCAACUUAACACAAUUCUAAAUUAAACUACAAACCCAAAAUAGACCAUAGUUGAUGAAGUCUACUUAAUCUACAAGUAGACAUACAUGACUGAAACCAAAAAAGGGCUCCCAAAGCCUAAAUAACCAAAUGUACAAAAUACAAAAGAUGCAAAUACAAGCCCAAAUUCAAGCUCACAACAUGAUUACAAAUAAUAAUUAUAAUAACAAUGGUAUUCAGCUACGGGACCUGACACUGAAGAUACCUACUGAAUAGCACCAUAGCUGAACCAACUUAAUCAAAAAAUGGGAAGAUAAGAUAUUACCACCCCAACUCCCUAAAAAUAAAAUCCAGUAAACCUACAAAUACAUUGGCAUAUGAGAAAAAUCAAGUCAUGAAAGGACAUAAAACAAAGCAAAAAAAUUAAUCACAGGUGAGAUUCAAGCUCAAAAACACAAUUAACUCCACAGCCAUCAGUUUCAACCUUAGUGCAGUUCCAUCCUCCUCAAAAAGCUCCCAUGGUCCCCACAGUUGAGCAUUAACUACUGUUGGGCUGUGCUGUGAUACCUAUUUUACUGAUCUGAGAGCAAUGUUUUACACAGGAGCUUAUCAUUUAUAAUGCUCACAAUAGGAAAUAAGAACAGAGGUCAAUUUGUACAUAUUUUUGCCAAUGCUAUACAGCAAAAAUUAAGAACUUACAGAAAGGUAAACAAAAUUGAGUCCACUUGGAUAAUUUCACAAGCUGCUUUAAAUUAUAGAACCAUCAGAUAUCUGAAAAAUAAGCAAAACUGGUAUAGUGUGUUUCUCUUUGGGGGGAAAGGAGGCCGGAGGAGUUGG
rnacentral:lncRNA from 1 species